UGGCGGCGUGCCUAAUACAUGCAAGUAGAACGCUGAAGAGAGGAGCUUGCUCUUCUUGGAUGAGUUGCGAACGGGUGAGUAACGCGUAGGUAACCUGCCUUGUAGCGGGGGAUAACUAUUGGAAACGAUAGCUAAUACCGCAUAACAAUGGGUGACUCAUGUCAUUUAUUUGAAAGGGGCAAAUGCUCCACUACAAGAUGGACCUGCGUUGUAUUAGCUAGUAGGUGAGGUAACGGCUCACCUAGGCGACGAUACAUAGCCGACCUGAGAGGGUGAUCGGCCACACUGGGACUGAGACACGGCCCAGACUCCUACGGGAGGCAGCAGUAGGGAAUCUUCGGCAAUGGGGGCAACCCUGACCGAGCAACGCCGCGUGAGUGAAGAAGGUUUUCGGAUCGUAAAGCUCUGUUGUAAGUCGAGAACGAGUGUGAGAGUGGAAAGUUCACACUGUGACGGUAGCUUACCAGAAAGGGACGGCUAACUACGUGCCAGCAGCCGCGGUAAUACGUAGGUCCCGAGCGUUGUCCGGAUUUAUUGGGCGUAAAGCGAGCGCAGGCGGUUUGAUAAGUCUGAAGUUAAAGGCUGUGGCUCAACCAUAGUUCGCUUUGGAAACUGUCAAACUUGAGUGCAGAAGGGGAGAGUGGAAUUCCAUGUGUAGCGGUGAAAUGCGUAGAUAUAUGGAGGAACACCGGUGGCGAAAGCGGCUCUCUGGUCUGUAACUGACGCUGAGGCUCGAAAGCGUGGGGAGCGAACAGGAUUAGAUACCCUGGUAGUCCACGCCGUAAACGAUGAGUGCUAGGUGUUGG
rnacentral:rRNA from 1 species